GAUUAUCCAAUUCCCUCUCACUUUUAUCUUCAGAUUCCUCACUACCAACAUUACAUCUCAAAAAAAAAAAAAACUGCAGAUUAACACUAGAAACACCUCCAACCACCUCCCUUCGUCUCUCAAGCUCUUCAACGGUCGCCAAACACAACCACCUCCCCGUCUUCCUCUAACUUUUUCUACAUCUUCGUCCCCGACCUUCAAUUGGAUUCCGGACUGCUACUCAAACCCCGUCCUAGCGACAAUCGUCGAAGAAGAGCCCGGUUUCUGUUGCCUACAAUAUUUAAUUGCAUAUGGACAUCUUAGAUGACAUGUUGGCUGGUGAAGGAUGUACUGUGCAGGAUUAGUUGGAAUACGGAGAGAGUGAUUACUAUCCACUGCUUUAAAAUGGGCACAGGCUUUAUCUGCAUGACAUAAGAGAAGUAGUUGUACGUGUUGUUGUUCCCAUGGAUGAAGAAGGCAAUACGAUUGUAAGUCCUCAUAACCCCAUAUUGCUUCUCUUAUUAACACGUGUAACUCAGUGUAAGGGCGUACUGGAUUCUUUGUUUUUGGAGAUACAUGUGGCUUUUGUAAGAAAUUUGGUGCAACUUCUAUUAAGUGACACCUGUGAAGAUUUCGAAAAAUUCUAAAUAGUUGGGUCAAUCUUUAAGACUCAGUGCAUGUGCAGU